rnacentral:rRNA from 1 species
AUUUAUUAGAUAAAAAACCAAUGCCCUUCGGGGCUCCUUGGUGAAUCAUAAUAACUUAACGAAUCGCAUGGCCUUGCGCCGGCGAUGGUUCAUUCAAAUUUCUGCCCUAUCAACUUUCGAUGGUAGGAUAGUGGCCUACCAUGGUGGCAACGGGUAACGGGGAAUUAGGGUUCGAUUCCGGAGAGGGAGCCUGAGAAACGGCUACCACAUCCAAGGAAGGCAGCAGGCGCGCAAAUUACCCAAUCCCGACACGGGGAGGUAGUGACAAUAAAUACUGAUACGGGGCUCUUUUGGGUCUCGUAAUUGGAAUGAGUACAAUCUAAAUCCCUUAACGAGGAACAAUUGGAGGGCAAGUCUGGUGCCAGCAGCCGCGGUAAUUCCAGCUCCAAUAGCGUAUAUUAAAGUUGUUGCAGUUAAAAAGCUCGUAGUUGAACCUUGGGUCUGGCUGGCCGGUCCGCCUCACCGCGAGUACUGGUCCGGCUGGACCUUUCCUUCUGGGGAAUCUCAUGGCCUUCACUGGCUGUGGGGGGAACCAGGACUUUUACUGUGAAAAAAUUAGAGUGUUCAAAGCAGGCCUUUGCUCGAAUACAUUAGCAUGGAAUAAUAGAAUAGGACGUGCGGUUCUAUUUUGUUGGUUUCUAGGACCGCCGUAAUGAUUAAUAGGGAUAGUCGGGGGCGUCAGUAUUCAGCUGUCAGAGGUGAAAUUCUUGGAUUUGCUGAAGACUAACUACUGCGAAAGCAUUCGCCAAGGAUGUUUUCAUUAAUCAGGGAACGAAAGUUAGGGGAUCGAAGACGAUCAGAUACCGUCG